rnacentral:rRNA from 1 species
UACGUAGGUGGCGAGCGUUGUCCGGAAUCACUGGGCGUAAAGGGCGCGUAGGCGGCGAAACAAGUCACAUGUGAAAUACCAGGGCUCAACCUUGGGGGGUCAUGUGAAACUGUUUUGCUUGAGUGCAGUAGAGGAGAGCGGAAUUCCUGGUGUAGCGGUAAAAUGCGUAGAGAUCAGGAGGAACACCGGUGGCGAAGGCGGCUCUCUGGGCUGUAACUGACGCUGAGGCGCGAAAGCGUGGGGAGCAAACAGG